GUUGAACGCUGGCGGCGGGCCUAACACAUGCAAGUCGAACGGUAACACGAAACACUUUGCUGUUUCGCUGACGAGGGGCGGACGGGUGAGUCAUGUGGGGGACACUGCCUGAUGGCGGGGGAUAACUACUGGAAACGGUACCUAAUACGGCAUAACGUCGCAAGACCAAAGAUGGAGACCUUCGGGCCGCUUGCCAUCGGAUGUGCCCAGGUGGCAUUAGCUAUUAGGUUGGGUAACGGCUCACCGAGGCGACGAUCCCUAGCUGGUCUGAGAGGAUGACCAGCCACACUGGAACUGAGACACGGUCCAGACUCCUACGGGAGGCAGCAGUGGGGAAUAUUGCACAAUGGGCGAAAGCCUGACGCAGCAAUGCCGCGUGUAUGAAGAAGGCCUUCGGGUCGUAAAGCACUGUCAGCGGGGAGGAAGGGAGUAAAGAGAAUACAUUCGCUCAUUGACGUUACCCAAAGAAGAAGCAACGGCUAACUACGUG
rnacentral:rRNA from 1 species